UGCUUAUUUGUUUGCUCGACAUUGCUUGCC
rnacentral:piRNA from 1 species